rnacentral:SRP_RNA from 1 species
GCUAGGCACAGUGGUGUGUACCUAUAAUCUCGGCUUUUAUUACUUGGGAGGCUGAGGUGGGAGGAUCACUUGAGCCCAGGAGUUCUGGGCUGUAGUGCACUAUGCAAAUCAGCUGGCUGCACUAGCUUUGGCAUCAAUAUGGUGACCUCCUGGGAGUGGGGGACCACCAGGUUGCCUAAGGAGGGGUAAACUGGCCAAGAUCGGAAACAGAGCAGGUCAAAACUCCCCUGCUAACCAGUAGUGGGAUCGUGCCUGUAAAAAGGCACGGCACUCUGGGCAACAUGGCAAGACCCUGUCACA